CCUACGGGAGGCAGCAGUGAGGAAUAUUGGUCAAUGGUCGGGAGACUGAACCAGCCAAGCCGCGUGAGGGAUGAAGGUACAGAGUAUCGUAAACCUCUUUUGUCAGGGAACAAAGGCGGGGACGCGUCCCCGGAUGAGUGUACCUGAAGAAAAAGCAUCGGCUAACUCCGUGCCAGCAGCCGCGGUAAUACGGAGGAUGCGAGCUUUAUCCGGAUUUAUGGGGUUAAAGGGGUGCGCAGGCGGUCUGUUAAGUCAGCGGUCAAAGCCCGGGGCUCAACCCCGGCCCGCCGUUGAAACUGGCAGUCUCGAGUUGGAGAGAGGUAUGCGGAAUGCGCGGUGUAGCGGUGAAAUGCAUAGAUAUCGCGCAGAACUCCGAUUGCGAAGGCAGCAUGCCGGCUCCACACUGACGCUGAGGCACGAAAGCGUGGGUAUCGAACAGGAUUAGAUACCCGUGUAGUC
rnacentral:rRNA from 1 species